CCUACGGGAGGCAGCAGUGAGGAAUAUUGGUCAAUGGACGCAAGUCUGAACCAGCCAUGCCGCGUGCAGGAAGACGGCUCUAUGAGUUGUAAACUGCUUUUGUCUGAGGGUAAACGCAGGUACGCGUAUCUGUCUGAAAGUAUCGGACGAAUAAGGAUCGGCUAACUCCGUGCCAGCAGCCGCGGUAAUACGGAGGAUUCAAGCGUUAUCCGGAUUUAUUGGGUUUAAAGGGUGCGUAGGCGGUCGGAUAAGUUAGAGGGGAAAUCCCGAGGCUCAACUUCGGAAUUGCCUUUGAUACUGUGAGGCGAGAGAGGAGUAGCGGUAGGCGGAAUGUAUGGUGUAGCGGUGAAAUGAUUAGAGAUCAUACAGAACACCGAUUGCGAAGGCAGCUUACCAACCUCCCUCUGACGCUGAGGCACGAAAGCGUGGGGAGCAAACAGGAUUAGAUACCCUUGUAGUC
rnacentral:rRNA from 1 species